rnacentral:rRNA from 1 species
UACGGGGGGGGCAAGCGUUGUUCGGAAUUACUGGGCGGAAAGGGCGCGUAGGCGGCCUGCUAAGGCGGACGUGAAAUCCCUCGGCUCAACCGGGGAACUGCGUCCGAUACUGGUGGGCUCGAAUCCGGGAGAGGGAUGUGGAAUUCCAGGUGUAGCGGUGAAAUGCGUAGAUAUCUGGAGGAACACCGGUGGCGAAGGCGGCAUCCUGGACCGGUAUUGACGCUGAUGCGCGAAAGCCAGGGGAGCAAACGGG